rnacentral:rRNA from 1 species
CCUACGGGAGGCAGCAGUGGGGAAUAUUGCACAAUGGGCGCAAGCCUGAUGCAGCCAUGCCGCGUGUAUGAAGAAGGCCUUCGGGUUGUAAAGUACUUUCAGCGGGGAGGAAGGCGAUAAGGUUAAUAACCUUGUCGAUUGACGUUACCCGCAGAAGGAGCACCGGCUAACUCCGUGCCAGCAGCCGCGGUAAUACGGAGGGUGCAAGCGUUAAUCGGAAUUACUGGGUGUAAAGCGCACGCAGGCGGUUUGUUAAGUCAGAUGUGAAAUCCCUGGGCUCAACCUGGGAACUGCAUUUGAAACUGGCAAGCUAGAGUCUCGUAGAGGGGGGUAGAAUUCCAGGUGUAGCGGUGAAAUGCGUAGAGAUCUGGAGGAAUACCGGUGGCGAAGGCGGCUCCCUGGACGAAGACUGACGCUCAGGUGCGAAAGCGUGGGGAGCAAACAGGAUUAGAUACCCCUGUAGUC